CACACUGCCAACAAAACAAAGGACUUCAUCAGGGGUCGAUGGGUCGCAGGCUUGAGUUUUGUGGGAGUGUUCAAUCAGCAGCAGCUCUGGUGUUUGAAUGUGUGAACAAUUACUGCACUUGCAAAACCACGGGAAGAUAUUGCAAAUAAGGAUUUGUUAAUGCUUGUUGUGGUGGCAGCCAAACUGACGGUGAGUGUACUGUUUAUUUCUCCUUUUUUCUUGUGAUUCUGUUUUUCCCUUGUAUUUUGGCCUGCCAGUCUGUGUCUCCUCUGCUCCCCUUGCUUGUGUUCUCCCUCUCUCUCUCUGCUCCUGAACCCAGCUGACGAUCCACACCUGCACCUUGUCAGCCACCUCCUCUGCCUGCCACACCUGCCAGCAAUCAACUCCAUCCCUGCCAGUAUUUCAACUCCGGUUCUACACACUAUCUCUGCUUGAUCGUCGUUGUUCCUGACCUGGUUCACUCACCUUCCUCUCCCGUUGUGUCAGCUGGGUUCGCCAACCUGCCCUCUCCCCUCGGACUUCCUCCACGCCGUCUUCCCGGCUCCCCCUAGUGCCUCAUGGUCAGCCUGCCAUCACACUCCUCCACCAACCCCCCGGUCAGUUCUCCCAUGCCUCCUCUCUCCCUCAGCCCCCGGUGCCUCCCAGUUCCCUCGUUCCAGCCUCCUUGGUCCCGCCUGCCCCUCGGCUCCCUUACCUCGGCCCUCUCUGCCCUACUUGCUGCUCGGUCCACCGUGCCCGUGUUCCCCCAGAAUCCACCUCCCUUUUUCCCCUCAAUAAAACCUGUUUAACCGGA